rnacentral:rRNA from 1 species
CCUACGGGUGGCUGCAGUGGGGAAUAUUGGACAAUGGGCGAAAGCCUGAUCCAGCCAUGCCGCGUGUGUGAAGAAGGCCUUCGGGUUGUAAAGCACUUUCAGUGGGGAAGAAAGCCUUGGGGCUAAUACCCUCGAGGAAGGACAUCACCCACAGAAGAAGCACCGGCUAACUCCGUGCCAGCAGCCGCGGUAAUACGGAGGGUGCGAGCGUUAAUCGGAAUUACUGGGCGUAAAGCGCGCGUAGGCGGUCUGAUAAGCCGGUUGUGAAAGCCCCGGGCUCAACCUGGGAACGGCAUCCGGAACUGUCAGGCUAGAGUGCAGGAGAGGAAGGUAGAAUUCCCGGUGUAGCGGUGAAAUGCGUAGAGAUCGGGAGGAAUACCAGUGGCGAAGGCGGCCUUCUGGACUGACACUGACGCUGAGGUGCGAAAACGUGGGUAGCAAACAGGAUUAGAUACCCUUGUAGUC